GAUGAACGCUGGCGGCGUGCUUAAUACAUGCAAGUCGAGCGAACAGACGCGGAGAUUGCCUCUCUGAUGUUAGAGGCGGACGGGUGAGUACCACGUGGAUAAACUCCCUAUAAGUAUGGGAUCACUUCGGGAACUCGGAGCUCAUACGGGCUAAUAUAUAAAACCGGGUGGCUCAAUAGUGCACGCGGGUUUUGCUGUCGAUUUUAGAUGGAUUCGCGCGACAUUAGGUAGUUGGUAAGGUAAAGGCUUACCAAGGCAACGAUGAGUAGCCGGCCUGAGAGGGUGAUCGGCCACACUGGAACUGAGACACGGUCCAGACUCCUACGGGAGGCAGCAGUGGGGAAUCUUCCACAAUGGGCGAAAGCCUGACGGAGCAACGCCGCGUGAGUGAAGAAGGUCUUCGGGUCGUAAAACGCUGUUGUUAGGGAAGAACAGGUUUGGGAGAAACUAUGCGCGUCAUGACGGUACCGAAAGAGAAAGCCACGGCUAACUACGUG
rnacentral:rRNA from 1 species